GGACUCACAUCUGUCAGUCAACACAGCAGAAAGCACAAUCACCAUGACUCUCAUCACCAUCCUCAUCUGGACGCUGACCUGCUGCUGUUUUACAGGAUGCAGCGGUCAGGUGACUGUGACUCAACCUCCAGUACUGACAUCUACUCCUGGAAACAAUGUCACUCUGACCUGUAGGACCAGCCAAGCUGUUUACAGAUUUGAUGAUGGUGAUGAUGCUAUGUACUGGUAUCAACAGAAAUCUGGACAGGCUCCAAAGCUCCUAAUAAAAUAUGCAAAAACGCUUCAGUCAGGAACACCAACUCGAUUUAGUGGCAGUGGAAGCAGCUCUGACUUCUCUAUGACCAUCAGUGGAGUUCAGACUGAAGAUGCAGCAGUUUAUUAUUGUCAGAGUUUCCACAGCGGGCCAGUGUUCACACAGUGAUUUGUAGUCGUACAAAAACCUCCCUCAGUCAGACUGCAGAGACACUGAGCUGUUACAGCAGAAAAUGACUGCAGCUGCUGAAGAGGAAGAAACUCUGACACAGACCAGUGAACACAGAGCUGACAGUAACCUCACCAAGCACUAAAUACUCAUCUACACUUCUUUUGGGGAAUUCUGAAAUAUUCACUCCCUUUUAUCAUCUUCAAUGCCCUGUACCAACACUGAGCAGAGCAGCUAUCUGAACACUGCUCCAACAGAGGUCGAUCAUCUUGUUAAUAAUUUUGCCUCCUCACUAAGUAUGACUCUGGUU